rnacentral:rRNA from 1 species
AUAAUGACUCUCGGCAACGGAUAUCUCGGCUCACGCAUCGAUGAAGAACGUAGCAAAAUGCGAUACUUGGUGUGAAUUGCAGAAUCCCGUGAACCAUCGAGUUUUUGAACGCAAGUUGCGCCCAAAGCCUUCUGGUUGAGGGCACGUCUGCCUGGGCGUCACGU